rnacentral:lncRNA from 1 species
UGAAUGGCUGGGAAAACCGAGGUUGGUGCAGAUCGGCCAAGGAUGAAGAGUCCAUGACGACUGUGUGCUGUCCACUUCUAGAACUUUCCCAGGUGCCGCCCUGUUACCGUUGCUGUGGCUGGCCUCAAACUUGUAAUCUUCUGGCCUCUUCUACCGAAGUACCUGGGUCUGCAGCCACUGUGUGCCGCCACACACGAGCUGCCCACUUUGCCGCUGUCCGAUGCAGCCCUGGCAGACCUGGUUGUUGCUGAAGCAAGGGCCUUUUGCCGGCUGCGCCCCAAUGGCGCAGCCAGGAUGGAGAGCCCAGCGGAAGAAGCUGAGGGCUUUCUGCUGAUCCCACAGUACUGCCGCCGCCGCCGAGUAGGAGUUUGGAAACAAGCGCCCUCACCUCCCAUCUCUGAUUUCCUUUUCCCUCUUGUACAAUUUACUGCUGACUGUGCGAUUGUUUGGCAAAUGAGCCUCGAUAGUGGCUUCAGCCUGUUGUCGUGAACCUGGCAGGCGGACCCCAGAUCUUGUUAAGCAACCCUUCUGUAGCCUCUAAUUGUGUCCCUAGAGAAACCUGGCUUGAGGGGAGGCAGGCGGGGGUGGGGGGCCUGGGGGGUCCAGGGUGCAGGCUGUGAGGAAGUAUUCCUUGCACGGGUCUGCAGAGUGGGUGCCACCCCUAGCCUUGGCGCCCACUAGAUCAAUGGCUGGUGGGAGGUAGGCCAGGAUAGCCCAGUCCCACUUCCUGCCUGUGCCAGGAGCAGCUCUCAUCCCUUACUGAGAGCCAAGCCAGAGCAUUAGCAGAUAGAGGCAUUAUUGUCCCCUUCCCAGGCCCUGGAAGCCGUUCUCACCCUGGAGAAAGGGACCGCUGUAGGAGGGCCUGAACGCUCUCUCUACCUUUGACACUGACUCAUGAUGAGAAACAGCAGGUGACCUGUCUCCUUGGGCCUCCAAGAAAACAUAUUUGUUUCACCAGUUCUGACUCAGCACUUGCAGCUCAUAGGGUAUUCGUGACUAUUACUGGUCUCAUUCAAGUCACAAGUGGCCCAACUGCCACACUGGAUGGAUGAGCCAGCAGCUCGGGGAUGGAAAGAGGGG